rnacentral:rRNA from 1 species
GAUGAACGCUGGCGGCGUGCCUAAUACAUGCAAGUCGAACGCAUUGUGGUUGAAAUGAUAUGAAGAACUUGUUCAGAUUUGAUUUUCAACAUUGCAAUGAGUGGCGAACGGGUGAGUAACACGUGGGAAACCUACCUCUUAGCAGGGGAUAACAUUUGGAAACAAAUGCUAAUACCGUAUAAUAUUAAAAACCGCAUGGUUUUAGUUUAAAAGAUGGUCUUGCUAUCACUAAGAGAUGGUCCCGCGGUGUAUUAGUUAGUUGGUGAGGUAAUGGGCUCACCAAGACAAUGAUACAUAGCCGAGUUGAGAGACUGACCGGCCACAAUGGGACUGAGACACGGCCCAUAC